GACGAACGCUGGCGGCGUGCUUAACACAUGCAAGUCGAACGGAAAGGCCCUGCUUUUGUGGGGUGCUCGGGUGGCGAACGGGUGAGUAACACGUGAGUAACCUGCCCUUGACUUUGGGAUAACUUCAGGAAACUGGGGCUAAUACCGGAUAGGAGCUCCGGCUGCAUGGUGGGGGUUGGAAAGUUUGGGUGGUUGGGGAUGGACUCGCGGCUGAUCAGCUUGUUGGUGGGGUAGUGGCUUACCAAGGCGUUGACGGGUUGCCGGCCUGAGAGGGUGACCGGCCCCAUUGGGAGUGAGAUACGGUCCGGACCCGUACGGGAGGCAGCAGUGGGGACUAUUGCCUAAUGGGCGGAAGCCGGAUGCAGCAUCGCCGCGUGCGGGAUGACGGCCUUCGGGUUGUGAACCGCUUUCGCCUGUGACGAAGCGUGAGUGACGGUAAUGGGUAAAGAAGCACCGGCUAACUACGUG
rnacentral:rRNA from 1 species